rfam:Sorghum bicolor cultivar BTx623 chromosome 1, whole genome shotgun sequence.
GUUGUCGGAUUCACUUCAAUCCAUGUGUGUUGGUGUGGAUUGGGGUAGAAAUUAGUUUAAAUGCCACUCCAAUCCACCUCAACACAUGUGGAUUGAUGUGAAUCCGACU